AUGUCUUUUGGAGGUUGUCUCUGUUUUUCGGGUCCAUUUUCGUUGACGCUACCUCUUGUUUGAGUUUUGAGUUGUUAAGGUGUUUAGGGUGAGUGUCCUUAGAGCUGAGCUUUUUUUCCUUUUUGAUUGAUGUUUGCCCCACCGUAAAUCUGGUUGUCUGUCUUACUUAUUGUGUGCUGGAUUCUGGUGGGCCGAUUACUUUUGCUUCGAGAUCAGAAGUUGGUGUCUAGCUACUAUCUGAUUUUGCUGGCUACGGUGUUCCUAUGGUGGACUGAGGAUAAGGGGUGCCCUUAUGAUUUGGUCUUGCAGUCUGGUGGACCUAUCGCUUUUAAUUCGAGAUCGGGAGUCAGUUCUUUGGUUCAGGUUUUGGUUUUGGGCUUUUUUGGUGUUCUUUCGAUGGACCGAAGGUUCAGAGGUGGUGGAAGCUAAUUGAUAUUUAGAAUAGCGGCUCAACUUUGGUGAUGAGGAUAUGAUGUUUCAUUUAGAGGGGUGUUAUUUUGGGAUGAGUAGUGGCUUUUUUGUUUAUUGAUACCGUUUUUCAGUGGUCGUUUCGUGAAAGACUCUGUUUUAGGUGGUGAUGUUUAUUUUGGUGGGUGUUUGUCAUCAGGGGUGUUGAAGGUGGGGUUUGACUAGGUGUUGUGUGUAGGGGGUCUUUUUGGUGUUUAUUUUUGGGUGUU
rnacentral:lncRNA from 1 species